rnacentral:rRNA from 1 species
GACGAACGCUGGCGGCGUGCCUAACACAUGCAAGUCGAACGGUAUCAUCCUUUCGGGGGUGAGAGAGUGGCGAACUGGUGAGUAACACGUAGGUUAUCUACCCUCAAGACGGGGACAACCCAGGGAAACUUGGGCUAAUACCGGAUGUGAGCAACUUUUAGUUGUUUGAAAGGUGGCGUAAGCUGUCGCUUGGGGAUGAGCCUGCGUCCUAUUAGUUAGUUGGUGAGGUAACGGCUCACCUAGGCAAUGAUAGGUAGGCGGCCUUAACGGGUGGUCGCCCACACUGGGAUUGAGAUACGGCCCAGACUCCUACGGGAGGCAGCAGUCGAGAAUAGUCUACAAUGGUCGGAAGACUGAUAGUGCGACGCCGCGUGAACGAUGAAUCCCUUCGGGGUGUAAAGCUCUUUCGACGGGGAAGAUAAUGACCGUACCCGUAGAAGAAGCCACGGCUAAAUUCGUG